rnacentral:rRNA from 1 species
AGCCUUUUGAACUCCUAUAAGGUUACGUCUGCCCGGUGAACAUUAAACGGCCGCGAAAGUGCUAAGGUAGCAUAAUAAUUUGUCUUUUCAUUGAAGACUAGAAUGAAUGGCAUAACGAAGCUUAGCUGUCUCAAAUUUAUAUAAUAAAUUAAUUCUAAAAUGAAAAAUCUUUAAUUAUAUAGCAGGACGAGAAGACCCUAUAGAGUUUUAGUAAAAUUUACUUUUAUUGGGGCAAUAUAAGAACAUAAAAAAUCUUACCUUUUAAACCUUAAAAAGAAACUAACAAACUACCUUAGGGAUAACAGCGUAAUCUCUUCUGAGAGCUCUCAUCGAAGAAGUGGAUUGCGACCUCGAUGUUGGACUAAGGGAUCUUUAAUAUGCAGAAGUAUUAAAAAGAUAGCCUGUUCGGCUUCUAACACCUUACAUG